rnacentral:rRNA from 1 species
AGUGAACGCUGGCGGUAGGCCUAACACAUGCAAGUCGAACGGCAGCACAGUAAGAGCUUGCUCUUACGGGUGGCGAGUGGCGGACGGGUGAGGCAUACAUCGGAAUCUACUUUUUCGUGGGGGAUAACGUAGGGACACUUCCGCUAAUACCGCAUACGUCCUACGGGUGAAAGCAGGGGAUCUUCGGACCUUGCGCGAUUGAAUUAGCCGAUGUCGGAUUAGCUAGUUGGCGGGGUAAAGGCCCACCAAGGCAACGAUCCGUAGCUGGUCUGAGAGGAUGAUCAGCCACACUGGAACUGAGACACGGUCCAGACUCCUACGGGAGGCAGCAGUAGGGAAUAUUGGACAAUGGGCGAAAGCCUGAUCCAGCCAUACCGCGUGGGUGAAGAAGGCCUUCGGGUUGUAAAGCCCUUUUGUUGGGAAAGAAAAGCAGCAGGUGAAUACCCCGCUGUUCUGACGGUACCCAAAGAAUAAGCACCGGCUAACUUCGUG